CCUACGGGAGGCUGCAGUAGGGAAUCUUCCACAAUGGGCGAAAGCCUGAUGGAGCAACGCCGCGUGGGUGAAGAAGGUCUUCGGAUCGUAAAACUCUGUUGUUAGAGACGAAAGAGCGUGAGAGUAACUGUUCACGUUUCGACGGUAUCUAACCAGAAAGCCACGCCUAACUACGUGCCAGCAGCCGCGGUAAGACGUAGGUGGCAAGCGUUAUCCGGAUUUAUUGGGCGUAAAGGGAACGCAGGCGGUCUUUUAAGUCUGAUGUGAAAGCCUGCGGCUUAACCGGAGGAUUGCAUUUGAAACUGGAAGACUUGAGUGCAGAAGAGGAGGGUGGAACUCCAUGUGUAGCGGUGAAAUGCGUAGAUAUAAGGAAGAACACCAGUGGCGAAGGCGGCUCUCUGGUCUGUAACUGACGCUGAGGUUCGAAAGCGUGGGUAGCAAACAGGAUUAGAUACCCCUGUAGUC
rnacentral:rRNA from 1 species